rnacentral:misc_RNA from 1 species
GGAAUAUUGCACAAUGGGCGCAAGCCUGAUGCAGCCAUGCCGCGUGUAUGAAGAAGGCCUUCGGGUUGUAAAGUACUUUCAGCGGGGAGGAAGGCGGUGAGGUUAAUAACCUCAUCGAUUGACGUUACCCGCAGAAGAAGCACCGGCUAACUCCGUGCCAGCAGCCGCGGUAAUACGGAGGGUGCAAGCGUUAAUCGGAAUUACUGGGCGUAAAGCGCACGCAGGCGGUCUGUCAAGUCGGAGGUGAAAUCCCCGGGCUCAACCUGGGAACUGCAUUCGAAACUGGCAGGCUAGAGUCUUGUAGAGGGGGGUAGAAUUCCAGGUGUAGCGGUGAAAUGCGUAGAGAUAUGGAGGAAUACCGGUGGCGAAGGCGGCCCCCUGGACAAAGACUGACGCUCAGGUGCGAAAGCGUGGGGAGCAAACAGGA